rnacentral:lncRNA from 7 species
UUAUAUUUUUUUUUUUGGAACAUAAGUAGUACCACGAAGGCAUUUUGAAAAUAGCAAGUUAUAGUAUUUUGAAGGUGUUCUUUUACAGGCAGAUGAAGCCUUACAAUAAUAAUAAUAAAAUUGUUUGGAAUAUUAAAUAAAAAAACUACGAGUCAAAAUUAAAAUUGCUGACUACGCGUCUGAUCCCAAACAACAAAUAUUGGUGACUGGAUGGGUGUUUUUAGUUUUAAUCUAUAGCCUAGGAUUUCACCAUCUAUAUAUAUGAUGUGAAACGAAUGAUCAAUAGAGCUAGCUAUACAGGCAGCAUGUGAUGUGUGUCAUGCGUGCGCAUAUAUAUUUGCAGAAAUGCGUACAACAUGGUGGGUCAAGAGAUCUUUGGAUGCAUGGAUGGGCGACGCCCAUGUUUUUUCACUGCACGCGUACCGGCAGACAUGCAUGGCUCUUCAGUUCGCGCCCGGCAUGCAGUGCAUCCUUCCUACGACCUCACCUAGCCUAGUUAGCUCCAUCCUAUUCAUCAUCUAAUGCUACGUACUCCUACUGCACUACUCCACACAUGCACUAGCCGACCUACUUCCUCUAUGUUCUUAGCUAUCCAUCGGAGUGGCCGUGGCCCGUGGCCGUGGUGUUGUGCAGUAGAGACCAGACAGUACCACCGUAGCAGCCAUCUUUUCUGUUGGGCUGGUGAUUCGAUUUGGGCCGAAGGCGUCGUUGGGCUGGAAUAAACGGGCCAACUCGCUAAACGUGCCAGGCUCCGGGCGCCUGUUAAAAAGUUCCGUUGUUGUAUGGCAGUGGCAGACAAGAACAGAAGCUCCAUAGAAUCUAACUACUGAUAACCGACCCACUUAGCAACUAAGCUCGUGCAUAUUUUGU